UCGGCACGACCGAUUCACCGGUGCGCGACUAUUACGUCUCAAGUGAGAGAACAACCGCGUUAAAAUUGCUCGUCGACGAUGACGACGAUAAAAAGACAGAGAACUGACUGAUAAGAGCAACCGUCGCCGCAUUGCUAAUCUUUUCAAGGCUUCUUUUCACAAUACUCUCGUAGAGAACCUCAAUACAAUGCAAUCUCUCGUUCAAUAAAUAUGAUAGCAAAUGCAUAAUGCCUCAAUGUUGAAUUGCUCGCCUUAAUCGGUAUAAUCCGAUUCAACAGACACAGAUUUCAGAUAAAGCUGUUGAUUCUGAGAUAAUUUGGUCAUCCAUUUUGAUUGUAGAGGAGUCAAUAUUGGUUGUAUAUAUACGCUUUAUUUUAUUUCCAAGUUUUUUAAGAAAGCAGAAAAAGAACUGUAGUUCUGAAAUUAGCUUGGAAUAAUGAAGUCGCUUAGAUAAAAGCAAAUAGGUAAUAUAUCAUCGAUAAGGUGUUUUAUCGUGUAUUUUUAGCUAUAAUUAUAUUUCUUGCUUCCAGCUCAUGAUUACUCUGAAUCGGUAAAAUUGAAACGAUGAGACUGUAUUGUAACUAUACUGUAACAUUUGAAUUGACGACAAUCCAACGGAUAUAUUAUUACUCAAUGCUCACGUAUGCGAUUUAUAAUUCAAGAAGUUCAGUGUGACACACUAAUUCGAAGAAUUUCCAGCGUGACACAUCAAUAUGUCGCUAACUCGGUCGUCUGGAUGGAAAGACGCCGCGACACAAUUACGCUUGCGGCCCUGAACUCGAUAAGAUACCGACGAAAGGACGAAAAUGUUGUUUUGCGUUACGAUUAAAACGUUACGCUAAAAUUUUGCGAUUUUUGUUAUUCGGGAGCUCGCUUAGUUUCGCUGUAUUGUGUUACAUUUUCCGUUCGAUCGCUGAUGAAUUUUGCAAGCUGAGAGAAUCAAUUGACAUCAACUUGCUAUCAAACUGUUACGGAUACAUUCAAGAAUAAAGCACUCGCGUCGUCCCGCAUUUGCGAUCUCAUAUUUGAGGGCCGAACGCGUAACGAGGAUGCGAUUGUCUCCGCGAUUCAGGGCGGAGAUGAGGAAGAGGAAGCCGAAGAAGAGCAGGGGACUCUUGUGCGUGCAGAACUUGACCUACGGGGGAUGAAUUAUAGAAGCGAUUCUAAUCGAUUACCGGCUACGGACGGAAACGAACGGACGACACGAGCGACGGCGGCGUUUCACUUUUCCGACGAGGAUUUCCUUGAAUUGUAUUCGAUGGUGUAUGCGUGAUUCAGGAUCAGAUUGAGGAGAAUAACGGGGCCCGACACGCCUUGGCAAAACGACACACGAACUCGACGAUAUCGUGAAACAGCGCGCAGCGUCGCGACGCGGCCAGCUGCGCCGUCGUCCGAUAUUGACUGGCCGAGGGUUGGUAGGCGACUGUAGACGACCGAAGUCUGUUGGGGGGUUUCCUCUGAUAAGAAUGUGCAGCGUAUAGGGAAUUUUUAAAUGGAUAAUUCUUUUUUUGAGCAGUCAAAAAGAAUAAAUUAAUAAUCCUGAAUUUCUAUGAAGAAGUGCAAAAUGAUGUAUAAAUUAGAGUAGUA
rnacentral:lncRNA from 1 species